rnacentral:rRNA from 1 species
GAUGAACGCUGGCGGCGUGCUUAACACAUGCAAGUCGAACGAUGAAGCCCAGCAUGCUGGGUGGAUUAGUGGCGAACGGGUGAGUAACACGUGAGUAACCUGCCCUUGACUCUGGGAUAAGCCUGGGAAACUGGGUCUAAUACUGGAUAUGACUUCUCAUCGCAUGGUGGGGGGUGGAAAGAUUUAUUGGUCUUGGAUGGACUCGCGGCCUAUCAGCUUGUUGGUGAGGUAAUGGCUCACCAAGGCGACGACGGGUAGCCGGCCUGAGAGGGUGACCGGCCACACUGGGACUGAGACACGGCACAGACUACUACGGGAGGCAGCAGUGGGGAAUAAUGCACGAUGGGCGCAAGCCUGAUGCAGCGACGCCGCGUGAGGGAUGACGGCCUUCGGGUUGUAGACCUCUUUCAGUAGGGAAGAAGCGAGAGUGACGGUACCUGCAGAAGAAGCGCCGGCUAACUACGUG